rnacentral:misc_RNA from 1 species
UACGUAGGUGGCUAGCGUUGUCCGGAAUUAUUGGGCGUAAAGCGCGCGCAGGCGGUUUCUUAAGUCUGAUGUGAAAGCCCCCGGCUCAACCGGGGAGGGUCAUUGGAAACUGGGAAACUUGAGUGCAGAAGAGGAGAGUGGAAUUCCACGCGUAGCGGUGAAAUGCGUAGAGAUGUGGAGGAACACCAGUGGCGAAAGCGACUCUCUGGUCUAUAACUGACGCUGAGGCGCGAAAGCGUGGGGAGCGAACAGG